AUCCUCUUGUAGUUCAUAAGCGUGAUGAUUGGGUGUUCAUGUUGUUGUGUGAUAUGUGCCUCCCUUAAACCUUGUUACGACCUUGGCACAUUGCCCGUCUGACA
ensembl:snoRNA